rnacentral:rRNA from 1 species
AGGGUGUGUAGGCCGACCGCCCCACCCCCCCAAGGUGGUAAAUGGAAUUUUUCUGUAGCGGUAGAAUGUGCGGAUAGAAAAUAGAACCCCAAAAGCUGAAGCAAUUUACCGCGGGGCGGGAGGGGGGGGCCCCCUGGGGCGCCCCCCCGGGCUACGGGCUGAAACACGAGGGUGUGGGGAACAAACAGGAUUAGAGACCCUGGUAGUCCACACUGUAAACGAUGGAGAAAAUGCGAAUGCAGCCCCGAAAGGCAGCAAUCUCCCGCCUGAGUAGUACGAUCGCAAGAUUAAAAUUCCAAAAAUUUGGCUGUUCACCGUUUCGAUUAGAGGAGCGUGUAGUUUAAUUCGAUAAACCGCGAGAUACCUUACCCAAACUUGAAUCCUUGAGGAUUCCAAGGAAUCCUUAUGGACCGGUAUUGCAUGGCCGUCGUCAGUUCGUGUAUGAAACCUUAAACGGACCCAACCCGAGGAUUAGCCGCGGAUGAAGUCAGGUCUUAUGGUCCCAAUGUUUGGGGAUAAUAUGCGCUACAUUUUCUUAUACAAUGGGAAACCUGGGAGGUGAAACCCWAAAGUGAGAGUUCGGUAGGCUAUUGGAAGAUGGCCGAAAG